GACGAACGCUGGCGGCGUGCUUAACACAUGCAAGUCGAACGGAAAGGCCCUGCUUUUGUUGGGUGCUCGAGUGGCGAACGGGUGAGUAACACGUGAGUAACCUGCCCUUGACUUUGGGAUAACUUCAGGAAACUGGGGCUAAUACCGGAUAGGAGCUCCUGCUGCAUGGUGGGGGUUGGAAAGUUUCGGCGGUUGGGGAUGGACUCGCGGCUUAUCAGCUUGUUGGUGGGGUAGUGGCUUACCAAGGCUUUGACGGGUAGCCGGCCUGAGAGGGUGACCGGCCACAUUGGGACUGAGAUACGGCCCAGACUCCUACGGGAGGCAGCAGUGGGGGAUAUUGCACAAUGGGCGGAAGCCUGAUGCAGCAACGCCGCGUGCGGGAUGACGGCCUUCGGGUUGUAAACCGCUUUCGCCUGUGACGAAGCGUGAGUGACGGUAAUGGGUAAAGAAGCACCGGCUAACUACGUG
rnacentral:rRNA from 1 species